rnacentral:rRNA from 2 species
UGCGGCAUGCCUAUAAUGCAGUCGAACGAACUCUGGUAUUGAUUGGUGCUUGCAUCAUGAUUUACAUUUGAGUGAGUGGCGAACUGGUGAGUAACACGUGGGAAACCUGCCCAGAAGCGGGGGAUAACACCUGGAAACAGAUGCUAAUACCGCAUAACAACUUGGACCGCAUGGUCCGAGUUUGAAAGAUGGCUUCGGCUAUCACUUUUGGAUGGUCCCGCGGCGUAUUAGCUAGAUGGUGGGGUAACGGCUCACCAUGGCAAUGAUACGUAGCCGACCUGAGAGGGUAAUCGGCCACAUUGGGACUGAGACACGGCCCAAACUCCUACGGGAGGCAGCAGUAGGGAAUCUUCCACAAUGGACGAAAGUCUGAUGGAGCAACGCCGCGUGAGUGAAGAAGGGUUUCGGCUCGUAAAACUCUGUUGUUAAAGAAGAACAUAUCUGAGAGUAACUGUUCAGGUAUUGACGGUAUUUAACCAGAAAGCCACGGCUAACUACGUGCCAGA